GAGAAUCAGCCGCCCCUCACAUCACCGGAUGGAUCCAGUAAUGGGAACCCACCAGAGAGAUGUCCCCGUCCUCUGUAUUCCCAAAAUUCCACGCAGGAAGAUAAGACCAUCCCCCACCAUCAUCAGCACGACAAACAAAUGGAUAUAAAAGUUGAGGUUAAAGAGGAAGAAGAGACGUACGUGAUGGAUUAUCAGCAGUCUAUGACAGAAGUUGGGAUGAUGGGAACAUCUAAACAGGAGGAACCUCCUCUACUUAUCAACGAGGAUGGAUCCAGUAAUGGGAACCCACCAGAGAGAUGUCCCCGUC